rnacentral:sRNA from 1 species
UUCGUUGGUGGCGUACCUCCCUUUCGCGGGCGGUGUAAUCACGCAUACCUGUCAUCUGACAUUGCAGAUUCCCUAAGCCCGCUGGUAACGCGGGCUUUUUUAU